rnacentral:rRNA from 1 species
GUAUGUUGACGUAUCUGAAAGGGAUACUCUUCGGACAAUAUACAAGGUGCUGCAUGGUUGUCGUCAGCUCGUGCCGUGAGGUGUCGGGUUAAGUCCUAUAACGAGCGCAACCCCUAUCAUUAGUUGCCAUCAGGUCAAGCUGGGGACUCUAAUGAAACUGCCUACGCAAGUAGUGAGGAAGGUGGGGAUGACGUCAAAUCAGCACGGCCCUUACGUCCAGGGCUACACACGUGCUACAAUGGCCGGUACAAAGGGCAGCUACCUGGUGACAGGAUGCUAAUCUCAAAAGCCGGUCUCAGUUCGGAUCGGAGUCUGCAACCCGACUCCAUGAAGUUGGAAUCGCUAGUAAUCGUGGAUCAGCAUGCCACGGUGAAUACGUUCCCGGGCCUU